rnacentral:piRNA from 1 species
CACAGCCAUAUCUAAUGGGAACACAGCUGU